rnacentral:rRNA from 1 species
GUCUUUUUGAAUUAAAUUUAAAGUCUAACCUGCCCACUGAAAAUUUUAAAUGGCCGCAGUAUUCUAACUGUGCAAAGGUAGCAUAAUCAUUAGUCUUUUAAUUGAAGGCUGGAAUGAAUGGUUGGACGAAAUAUUAACUGUUUCAUUUAAAUUUUUUAUAGAAUUUUAUUUUUUAGUCAAAAAGCUAAAAUAAAUUUAAAAGACGAGAAGACCCUAUAAAUCUUUAUAUUUUGUUUAUUUUAAUUAUAAAGAUUAUUUUUAUUAUAAUAAGUUAAAAUAUUUUAUUGGGGUGAUAUUAAAAUUUAAAAAACUUUUAAUUUUUAAAAACCAUUAAUUUAUGAAUAAUUGAUCCAUUAAUAAUGAUUAAAAAUUUAAGUUACUUUAGGGAUAACAGCGUAAUUUUUUUGGAGAGUUCAUAUCGAUAAAAAAGAUUGCGACCUCGAUGUUGGAUUAAGAUAUAAUUUUGGGUGUAGCCGUUCAAAUUUUAAGUCUGUUCGACUUUUAAAUUCUU